CCUACGGGAGGCUGCAGUGGGGAAUAUUGCACAAUGGGGGGAACCCUGAUGCAGCAAUGCCGCGUGGGUGAAGAAGCACUCCGGUGCGUAAAGCCCUGUCAGCAGGGAAGAAAAUGACAGUACCUGGACAAGAAGCCCCGGCUAACUCCGUGCCAGCAGCCGCGGUAAUACGGAGGAUGCGAGCGUUAUCCGGAUUUAUUGGGUUUAAAGGGUGCGUAGGCGGUCCGUUAAGUCAGCGGUAAAAUUGCGGGGCUCAACCCCGUCGAGCCGUUGAAACUGGCAGACUUGAGUUGGCGAGAAGUACGCGGAAUGCGCGGUGUAGCGGUGAAAUGCAUAGAUAUCGCGCAGAACUCCGAUUGCGAAGGCAGCGUACCGGCGCCAGACUGACGCUGAGGCACGAAAGCGUGGGGAUCGAACAGGAUUAGAUACCCUUGUAGUC
rnacentral:rRNA from 1 species